AUUGAACGCUGGCGGCAGGCUUAACACAUGCAAGUCGAGCGGGGAAGGGUAGCUUGCUAGCUAACCUAGCGGCGGACGGGUGAGUAAUGCGUAGGAAACUGCCAUUUUGUGGGGGACAACAUUCCGAAAGGAAUGCUAAUACCGCAUACGGCCUACGGUAGAAAGCAGGGGAUCUUCGGACGAUGCGCUAAAUGAUGAGCCUAAGUCGGAUUGGUUAGCUGGUGGGGUAAAGGCCUACCAAGGCGAUGAUCUGUAGCGGGUCUGAGAGGAUGAUCCGCCACACUGGGACUGGGACACGGCCCAGACUCCUACGGGAGGCAGCAGUGGGGAAUCUUCGACAAUGGGCGGAAGCCUGAUCUAGCCAUGCCGCGUGUGUGAAGAAGGCCUUAUGGUUGUAAAGCACUUUAAGCGAGGAGGAGCCUACUAUUAUUAAUACUAGUGGUUAAUUGACGUUACUAAAAGAAUAAGCCACGGCUAACUCUGUGCCAGCCGCCGCCGUAAGAC
rnacentral:rRNA from 1 species